rnacentral:misc_RNA from 1 species
UUGUGGAGGAGGACGCCGAAGGUGGGGCUAAUGACUGGAGUGAAGUCGUAACAAGGUAGCCGUACCGGAAGGUGCGGCUGGAUCACCUCCUAACAGGGAGACAACAAAAUGUUUAAUAUUAUUAUUUUGUCACCUUAGGUCGAUCGGUAUCUCACGUUUUUAAUUUAUUAAGAAUUUCAUUUCCUAAGUUUUUCUAGGUCACACCCAUUAUUUUUCCUGGGCCAUUAGCUCAGGUGGUUAGAGCGCACCCCUGAUAAGGGUGAGGUCCCUGGUUCAAGUCCAGGAUGGCCCAUAUCUCUAUGUUGGGGGUAUAGCUCAGUUGGUAGAGCGCCUGCUUUGCAAGCAGGAUGUCAGCGGUUCGAGUCCGCUUACCUCCACUGAUUACCACCUCUUCCAUAACCGGUAGAAAGGAAAUGUUUUGAGUUGUGAUCAAAUUCUGAAAGAAUCUAGCUUCCUAAUGAAAUCAUUAAGAUGCUGGACUCAUUGAAUUAAUUUCAUUGUUUUCAGAGAACCUUGACAACUGCAUAGAUUAUUUUUAAAGACAAUAAGCAUCUUUAAUGAUGCAGAUUUAUUAUUUGUGCGAAUGCAUUAAUAACAAUUCUAUUAAGCUGAUGCUUCAAUUUUGAAGUUAUUGGUCAAGCUACAA